CUCUGUUCACCUCUAGACCUGAG
rnacentral:misc_RNA from 1 species